UACAACAUAGCGUUAAUGCAUCACAUCCCAUUAGAACUUCGUAGUUAAGUGAACUCAAUAUAGAGUAGUACUGGGAUGGGUGACCACCUGGGAAGUCUUAGUCUUUUAC
rnacentral:rRNA from 1 species